rnacentral:rRNA from 1 species
GUGCAACAGUUGUUCUACCAAGAGCAUAGCUGUGUAGCCAAGUUCGGAAUGGAUAAACGCUGAGAGCAUCUAAGUGUGAAGCCAACUCCAAGAUAAGAUAUCCCAUACCGUUAAGGUAGUAAGAUUCCAUGAAGACUACGUGGUUGAUAGGUUGGGGGUGUAAGUGAAGCGAUUCACUGAGCUGACCAAUACUAAUAAAUCGAGGGCUUAACCAUAAAA